UACAGAGGGGGCGAGCGUUGUUCGGAAUUAUUGGGCGUAAAGCGCGUGUAGGCGGCUUAGUAAGUUGGGUGUGAAAGCCCUCGGCUUAACCGAGGAAGGGCGCCCAAAACUGCUUGGCUUGAGUACCGGAGAGGGUGGCGGAAUUCCCGGUGUAGAGGUGAAAUGCGUAGAUAUCUGGAGGAACACCGGUGGCGAAAGCGGCCCACUGGACCUUCUCUGACGCUGAGGUGCGGAAGCUAGGGUAGCAAACGGG
rnacentral:rRNA from 1 species